GAGCAACGCCAUCUCCAGGAAUCACUCCACUGAUUGAAUGUGCACUAUCAUCUCCAGCACAUAUUCAGAGAGAUGGAAGAAAGGGUUCGUUCAGAAAAGUUGCUGCUAGAUCGAUCUAUCGUCUCCCGCAAACAGCCAUUGGGGACCAAGUAGCAUCUAGCUGCAGCACCGUUGACAGCAAGAAUUGUUGGGAAUUCAAUCACCAAAGUAGCUUUUUAGUGGAAGCUAAAGCAUAACUUUUCUGAAUUGUUCCCCAUAGCUGUGUUUCAAUGCAUGAUACUGCAGAGUACGGUGUGUUCUAGCCUUGUUACUACAAUUCGAUCAUUCUGUUAUAGCCUCGUUACUACUAGACGAUGAGCUAAUAUGUGUUUGGGUGUUGGUGGCGAUGUUUAGUUUGACCUGAAUGUGUUCAUCUGACGUCAGUGCAAAUAGGUGUUCUGUGGUUAUGUAAGGUUUCCCUAAAUCUGCUCUUUUUAUGUUGAUCUGUUGUGAUCGUCGGUGCAAAUAUUUUUUGGGCGUUGAUGCGUUGUGUCCAUGCUUACUGCACUUUAUUGUUGCUCUUAUGAUCUUGUUAUUCAUUUUCUUGCUAGUUGUUCGAUAAACGGAAACAACAACAAUGGAAAAUCCAGCAGCAAAAGAGUACAUGCUUAGGUAUUGUUGCGCAUCCUCUCUUGAUUUAAAUUGCAUUCCUAUCUCAGGCUUGAUGUCAGAACUUACUGUCAACUAAUCUUGUGCAGUACCAUUUCCAGCAUCUUGUUCAGUACCUUGUUCAUCAUCAUCUAAAAAUUUCUGCACAUCUUCUUCAGUUAUGUUGUUGUCCUUUUCUUGAUUUUCAUGAGUCGAAUCAGAUUCAUCUUUUUUUUUGGAUCAUCAUGUUCACUAAUGUUUGCAUUCCUUUUAUCCAUGUUCCAAGAAUGGUCAAAGUCAAGGUUAUGUGCUUCGUCUUCUUGGUCCUCUUCUUCAGCAACCUAACAGGAAAACAUUCUCAAGUUAAUAUUCUCAUUUUUUAUUUAUUAGUUAUUUGUUUUUUAUUAUGUUCAUACCUCAUCUAGAUGCAUGUCUUCAAAUAUACUUGAGUUCCAUGGAUUAUCUUCAGUUUCUUCCUACUCCUCAAUUCUUCCUUCUUCCAAGUCAAUAUAUGUUAACCUUGCGGAUGGUCCUUCACUAUCCAUUAAUUGAUGUACCUGCAUAAGUUUAUAAUGUUAGCAUUUUUGUAUUCAUAUGCAUUUUAAAACUCUAUUUUUUAUUAACUGUAUUUAUAAAAAAGCUUACAGUUGAUAUAUAUAUUGAUGUUUUUGACCCUGAAACAUUGAUCUUCCGGCUUUGCCACUUGCCUGUAGGUCAUUUUGAAUUCUUUCAGUAGGUAGACGCCAUGUACUGUCAUUAUUGCCUGAUGACGAAAAAAAUCCGGGCAUCUCCCUGUAGCAUAAAUUGAAUUUCACAUAUUUUAUUUCGUAGAUGGAAAAUUAAAUAUAGACAUGUUCAUUAUUUUUAUAGAGCUUAGUACUAGUUACCUCCAUAUUUGCAAUUUCCGAUGAGCAGCGUAUGUCAAGGUCGCCCCUUAUUAAUGCCAUGUAUGGAAUUGUUUGCUGCAAUUUCUUUAUGUUAGUUUUACUAGCGUAUAAAAGUGUUUUUAAACAUUUAUUUAAUUUAGAAAAUAUUAAUUGUAAUAAUAAGUUGUCGGUCAUUUGUGCCAUUGUAUUUCCACCUUUUAGCCCCUGCAACAAAAUAAUAGAUAUCAUGAAUUACAUUGAUUGAUAAUAGUAUAUGUUCAAUCAUUCUAGUCUUUUUUCUUGAACGCGGAAAACCAUCGGACUCAUUCAUUCUACUCAUUUUCAUUUUCCUUAUUUAUUUAGUAUCUCAAUAUAAUUUUAUCAAUGUUUCAUUUUCUUAGUUUUCAUUCCCGAAUGCCCUGUAUUUGUUCUUCCUCAGUGUUCAGUUAGUCUUUCAGUUUUCAGUCAGUCUUUCGGUCCAUUAGUAUCUAUUAUGUCUUCUAUUUUUCAUUCCUAUGUUUAUGUCUUCCAUCCUUCUUAUGUUUUCAGUGUUUGUAUUCCCUGAGUUUCUUAGUCACUCAUUUAGAGCAAUGGGUUUCUCUCGGUCCCUCAGUUUCCAAUCAAUCUCAUUCUUAGUUUCUUCAGUUCCUUAUCUGGAAGUCAUGUUCAGUCUUUCUAGUCCCUGAGUUUCUAAGUCUCUCAUUUUUCUUCAGUAAAAACCUCAUUUUGUCUUUCGGUUUUCACUCAGUCUUUCGGUCCAUUAUUAUCUCAUUAUGUCUUCUAUCUUUCAUUCCUAUGUUUGUCUUCCAUCCUUCCUAUGUUUUCAGUGUUUGUAUUUUCUGUGUUUCUUAGUCACUCAUUCAGAGCUAUGUUUCUCUCGGUCCCUCAGUUUUCAGUCAAUCUCAUUCUUAGUUUCUUCAGUCCUUAUCUGGAAGUCAUGUUCAGUCUUUCUAGUCCAUGAGUUUUUGAGUCUCUCAUUUUUCUUCAGUAAAAACCUCAGUUUCAAUUUCUCAGUUUCUUGAGUAACUCAUUUUGCGUUUCUUCAAUUUCUCAGUUUCUUGAGUCACUCAUUUUGCAGUUUACUUUAUCUCUUUCUCUUAAUGAUAUUGAUUUUGUAAGUUCGUCACUUUUUCAUUGUCUCAAUUUCUCAGUCUGCAUUCCCGCAAACCCAGUUUCCUCGCCGACCUACAGGUGCAGUCGUUAGUCUCCGUCAGCCAUUGCAAUCCUCCUCAAGGUAGCUCUGUGUGUGUAUGUCUCUUUCUAUUUUAUGUGGCACAAUGGGGUGCAGCUGGCACAUCGGAAAGUAUUUUUACUUCAUGCUUGCCUUGUGGUCAGGCAGGAAACCUGUAAGGGAGUACUAAUGACUAAAUCUUAAGAAGCAACUUGGCCCGUAACAAACUGUAGCAGCUUCCAUUUGAUUAGUGUUACUUUAUUCAUCAAGAUUUUAGUUUUCUUUUUUCUGGAAGGAGUUGUCAUGCUGUGUAAACUCCUCAAGAAUACACUCUGAAUUUCGGCUUGAGGAGUCCUAAAGGGAUCAGUGAUCCUAAUGGAUAUCCCACUCCAAACCAAAUCCAGAUAUUAUUGCUAUACAUUGUCUUUCAUUAUAUCUAGCACUAUGCAUACAUCCCAGAAGUAACUAGUUCACUUCAUCAAGGUAGUGCUCAGUUUUUGGAGUUUGUUCAGCAAAUUUAGGUAGUAGUUCACUAUCUCAAUAUCUAAGUUCGCAUUCUCUGUUUUAGGUGUUUUAUGUUUUAUUUUCUGUUUUCUGAAAAUUCAAAAUUUUCUCUAAACAACUUACCUAUUACAGAUUUUUCCCGAUCAGAUCGACUACAAUAUAGAUCCACUACAAUAUACGACGUAGUCACUUUGUCUCCAUCUGGGGUGACACUCCAGCUGAUGCAGAGAUCGUGCACGAACCGCGCUGGCUGCAAAUCCUCAAGAUAAAUCUCUAUGUAUUCCUCGCCAACGGGAUCCAUUUUCGAUCUACAGCUGCAGUUACUCUUUCUACGUCUGUCAGUUUUCAGUAGCAGAUUUGAUCGGGACCAUUUACCUGAGGAUGUGAAGCGUCUUCACGUGGAAGUAUGGUUUCUUGGAGAAAUUCUUUUCCUUUCUCCAGUGAUUGCUCUUCUCCCCCGUCCAUUGUGUUUUGGUGGCAGGUUUCCCUCGAGACGAAUGGCUGGAAGGAGUGGUUGGGGUGGUUGCAGCAAGUGAGGUGCUUUGCUUGGUGAAGAAGGUCGAACAGCUGCCUUUUCUGGGCCUUGUAAUGCGAGAAAGACGUAGAGGGCUGAUUCGUAGGGUGUUAAAACAGAUGGUGAAAUCGUGACUCAAAAGCCUUUCACAAACUGAAAUGUGUCUGUUUCUGUGUACUGAAAACAGACACCUUUUUCAUAAACUGAGUGUUUCUUAGUUAACUGAAACAGACAGCUGGCU